GAUGAACGCUGGCGGCGUGCCUAAUACAUGCAAGUCGAGCGAACAGAUGAGGAGCUUGCUCCUCUGACGUUAGCGGCGGACGGGUGAGUAACACGUGGAUAACCUACCUAUAAGACUGGGAUAACUUCGGGAAACCGGAGCUAAUACCGGAUAAUAUAUUGAACCGCAUGGAUCAAUAGUGAAAGACGGCUUUGCUGUCACUUAUAGACGGAUCCGCGCCGCAUUAGCUAGUUGGUAAGGUAACGGCUUACCAAGGCAACGAUGCGUAGCCGACCUGAGAGGGUGAUCGGCCACACUGGAACUGAGACACGGUCCAGACUCCUACGGGAGGCAGCAGUAGGGAAUCUUCCGCAAUGGGCGAAAGCCUGACGGAGCAACGCCGCGUGAGUGAUGAAGGUCUUCGGAUCGUAAAACUCUGUUAUUAGGGAAGAACAAAUGUGUAAGUAACUAUGCACGUCUUGACGGUACCUAAUCAGAAAGCCACGGCUAACUACGUG
rnacentral:rRNA from 1 species